rnacentral:rRNA from 1 species
ACACGUAGCUAACCUACCCUCAGGACGUGGAUAACCCCGGGAAACUGGGGCUAAUCCGCGAUAGGUAUGAAGGCCUGGAAUGGUUUCAUGCCCAACGGCACAGCGAUCAUGUUUGUUGUGUGCCUGAGGAUGGGGCUGCGGCUGAUCAGGCAGUUGGCGAGGUAACGGCUCACCAAACCUUUGACCGGUACGGGCCAUGAAAGUGGUAGCCCGGAGAUGGGCACUGAGACAGGGGCCCAGGCCCUACGGGGCGCAGCAGGCGCGAAAACUCCACACUGUACGAAAGUACGAUGGGGUUAUCUCGAGUGCAGUCCGAUAAGGGCUGCUUUUCCAUAGAGUAAUAUCCUGUGGGAAUAAGAGGGGGGCAAGACUGGUGUCAGCCGCCGCGGUAACACCAGCCCCUCGAGUGGUGGGGACUUUUAUUUGGCCUAAAGCGUCCGUAGCUGGCUGUAUCCGUCCCCCGUUAAAUCCAGCGUCCUAAACGUUGGACUGCGGGUGAUACCAUACAGCUAGAGGGUGGGAUAGGUGAGCGGUAUUUCUGGGGUAGGGGCGAAAUCCUUUGAUCCCAGGAGGACCACCAGUGGCGAAGGCUGCUCACUAGAACACGCCUGACGGUCAGGGACGAAAGCUGGGGCGGCGAACCGGAUUAGAUA